UACGGAGUGUGCGAGCGUUGUCCGGAAUCACUGGGCGUAAAGGGCGCGUAGGUGGCGCGGGAAGUCAACGGUGAAAGUUCAGGGCUCAACCCUGAAUCGGCCGUCGAUACUCCCGGGCUUGAGCACUGUAGAGGCAGAUGGAAUUCCGGGUGUAGCGGUGGAAUGCGUAGAGAUCCGGAAGAACACCGGUGGCGAAGGCGGUCUGCUGGGCAGUUGCUGACACUGAUGCGCGACAGCGUGGGGAGCAAACAGG
rnacentral:rRNA from 1 species